CCGAGGUGGGGCUGAUGACUGGGGUGAAGUCGUAACAAGGUAGCCGUACCGGAAGGUGCGGCUGGAUCACCUCCUAG
rnacentral:rRNA from 1 species